GAGUUUGAUCCUGGCUCAGAUUGAACGCUGGCGGUAGGCUUAACACAUGCAAGUCGUGCGAGAAAGUAUCUUCGGAUAUGAGUAGAGCGGCGGACGGGUGAGUAACGCGUAGGAAUCUACCUAGUAGAAGGGGAUAGCCCGGGGAAACCCGGAUUAAUACCGUAUACCUCCUUCGGGAGAAAGAAGGCCUCUCUUUGAAGCUUUCGCUAUUAGAUGAGCCUGCGUAAGAUUAGCUUGUUGGUGAGGUAAAGGCUCACCAAGGCGACGAUCUUUAGCUGGUCUGAGAGGACGAUCAGCCACAUUGGGACUGAGACACGGCCCAGACUCCUACGGGAGGCAGCAGUGGGGAAUAUUGGACAAUGGGCGCAAGCCUGAUCCAGCCAUACCGCGUGUGUGAAGAAGGCCUUCGGGUUGUAAAGCACUUUAAGCAGGGAGAAAAAGUUAUAAGUUAAUACCUUAUAACCGUGAUGUUACCUGCAGAAUAAGCACCGG
rnacentral:rRNA from 1 species